AUGGCGGCCUCUGUGCAGCUUGAUGAGCCUGCUCGGACGCCCCGCGUGGAGGAAGAGGAAGAGGCGUCGGACGACGAGGAGGAGCACGAGGAGUGGAGGGAGCUGUACGGCUCGCAGCUGCAGCUGGAGGUGGAGCCGCCGCUGCACGACGCGCGCGACGAGGGCACGGCGGACGCGUGGACGGAGCGUAACCCGUCGCUCAUCCGCCUCACCGGCAAGCACCCCUUCAACUGCGAGCCGCCGCUGGCGCGCCUCAUGCACCACGGCUUCAUCACCCCGGCGCCGCUGCACUACGUGCGCAACCACGGCCCCGUGCCCCGCGCCGACUGGUCCUCGUGGACCGUGGAGGUCUCCGGCCUCGUCAGCCGGGCCGUGCGGCUCACCAUGGACGAGCUGGUCCGCGACUUCCCCGCCGCGGAGCUCCCCGUCACGCUCGUCUGUGCCGGCAACCGCCGCAAGGAGCAGAACAUGGUGCGGCAGACGGCCGGGUUCAACUGGGGCGCCGCGGGCGUGUCCACCUCCGUGUGGCGCGGCGCGCGCCUCCGCGACGUACUGCGCCGGUGCGGCAUCAUGGGCCUCAGGAAGGGCCGCGGCGCGCUCCACGUGUGCUUCGUGGGCGCCGAGGACCUCCCCGGCGGCGGCGGCGGCGGCGCCAAGUACGGCACCAGCGUGACGCGCGAGUGGGCGCUGGACCCUUCCAGAGACAUCAUGCUCGCCUACGCUCAGAACGGGGAGCCGCUGCUGCCGGACCACGGCUUCCCGGUGCGCGUCAUCAUCCCGGGCUGCAUCGGCGGCCGCAUGGUCAAGUGGCUCACGCGCAUCGUCGUCACCGCCGCCGAGUCCGACAACUACUACCACUUCAAGGACAACCGCGUCCUGCCGUCCCACGUCGACGCCGAGCUCGCCGACGCGCAGGCGUGGUGGUACAAGCCGGAGUACAUCAUCAACGAGCUCAACACAAACUCGGUGAUCACCACGCCCGGUCACGACGAGAUCCUGCCCAUCAACGCCUUCACCACGCAGCGCGCCUACACCAUGAAAGGAUACGCCUACGCCGGUGGUGGCAAGAAGAUCAUAAGAGUGGAGGUGACGCUGGACGGGGGCGAGACAUGGAUGUUGUGCACGCUCGACAUCCCGGAGAAGCCCAACAAGUAUGGCAGGUACUGGUGCUGGUGCUUCUGGUCCGUCGAUGUCGAGGUCCUGGAUCUCCUCGGCGCCAAGGAGGUGGCGGUGCGCGCCUGGGACCAGGCACAGAACACCCAACCCGAGAAGCUUAUAUGGAACCUCAUGGGGAUGAUGAACAACUGUUGGUUCAAGGUCAAGGUGAACGUGUGCCGGCCGCACAAGAGGGAGAUCGGUCUGGUGUUCGAGCAUCCGACGCAGCCAGCCAACCAGACGGGCGGGUGGAUGGCGCGGCAGAAGCACAUGGAGACCGCCGCCCCGGGACUCAAGCGUAGCACGUCCACGCCCUUCAUUCACACCACCGACGACAAGCAGUUCACCAUGUCCGAGGUGCGCAAGCACGGGUCCAAGGACUCUGCGUGGAUCGUCGUCCACGGACACGUCUACGACUGCACCGCCUUCCUCAAGGACCACCCCGGUGGCGCCGACAGCAUCCUCAUCAACGCUGGCACGGACUGCACCGAGGAGUUCGACGCCAUCCACUCAGACAAGGCAAAGGCGCUCCUCGACGCGCACCGCAUCGGCCAACUCAUCACCACUGGCGGCGGCUAUACCUCUGACAACUCCGUCCAUGGCGGCUCCUCUCUUGCCCCCAUCCGCGAGGCUACCAAGGCCACCGCCGCACCGAUCGCACUAUCAAGCCCGCGUGAGAAGGUUCGCUGCCGCCUCGUCGACAAGAAGGAGCUCUCCCGUGACGUGUGCCUGUUCCGCUUCGCGCUGCCGUCCUCCGACCAGGUGCUCGGCCUGCCAGUUGGCAAGCACAUAUUUGUGUGCGCCAACAUCGAGGGGAAGUUAUGCAUGCGCCCGUACACGCCGACGAGCAUGGUCGACAAGGUCGGCCAGUUCGAGCUCCUCGUCAAGGUGUACUUCAAGAACGAGCACCCCAAGUUCCCCGACGGCGGGGUCAUGACACAGUACCUGGAAUCGCUUCAGGUAGGCAGCUCCUAUAUCGACGUCAAGGGGCCUCUCGGCCAUGUGGAAUACACCGGCCGCGGCAGCUUCAUGAUCGGCGGCAAGCCGCGGCGAGCGCGACGCCUGGCGAUGAUCUGCGGCGGGAGCGGGAUCACACCCAUGUAUCAAGUUAUCCAGGCAGUGUUGCGCGACCAGCCGGGGGAUGAGACGGAGAUGCACCUCGUGUAUGCGAACCGGACGGAGGACGACAUCCUGCUGCGCGACGAGCUGGACCGUUGGGCGGCGGAGCACCCGGACAUGCUCAAGGUGUGGUACGUGAUCGACCAGGUGAAGCGACCGGAGGAAGGCUGGAAGUUCAGCGUCGGGCACGUGAGGGAGGACAUUCUGCGCGCACACGUGCCGGAGGGGGGCGAUGACACCCUCGCGCUCGCCUGCGGGCCGCCGCCCAUGAUCAAGUUCGCCAUCUCGCCCAACCUCGAGAAGAUGAAGUAUGACAUGGCCAAUUCUUUCAUCUCGUUCUAA
rnacentral:rRNA from 1 species